rfam:Daphnia pulex DAPPTscaffold_5833_Cont16797, whole genome shotgun sequence.
UCCCAUAUGGUCUAGUGGCUAGUAUACCUGGCUUACACCCAGGAGGCUCGGGUUCGAUUCCCGGUAUGGGAA